rnacentral:rRNA from 1 species
UACGGAGGGUGCAAGCGUUAUCCGGAUUCACUGGGUUUAAAGGGUGCGUAGGUGGAUCGGUAAGUCCGUGGUGAAAUCCCCGAGCUUAACUCGGGAACUGCCGUGGAUACUAUCGAUCUUGAAUACUGUGGAGGUAAGCGGAAUAUGUCAUGUAGCGGUGAAAUGCGUAGAUAUGACAUAGAACACCGAUAGCGAAGGCAGCUUGCUACACAGUUAUUGACACUGAGGCACGAAAGCGUGGGGAGCAAACAGG